GGUGAACGCUAGCGGGAGGCCUAACACAUGCAAGCCGAGCGGUAUUUGUCUUUCGGGACAGAGAGAGCGGCGUACGGGUGCGUAACACGUGUGCAACCUACCUUUAUCAGGGGGAUAGCCUUUCGAAAGGAAGAUUAAUACCCCAUAAUAUAUUGAAUGGCAUCAUUAAAUAUUGAAAACUCCGGUGGAUAAAGAUGGGCACGCGCAAGAUUAGAUAGUUGGUGAGGUAACGGCUCACCAAGUCGAUGAUCUUUAGGGGUCCUGAGAGGGAGAUCCCCCACACUGGUACUGAGACACGGACCAG
rnacentral:rRNA from 1 species